ensembl:lncRNA
GGGCGGUCUACGGUCGAGGGACGGUCCACCAUGUUGUGUGAAGACGUCGAGGUGAGAGGAAGGAGGUGGAGGACGAAGAGGAGUUGUGAACCCGUCACUGUGAACUAAGAGAAUAUAAGAAUAUGCAUUAAUCCAGGAGCCAUCGAAACAUCGCUACACAAACUAUGAACCUUGACACCCACCUGGCCAUUGUGUCACCCGGCCCUCGUCUCACCUGGUCUGGUCUCACCUGGUCUGGUCUCACCUGGUCUGGCCUCACCUGGUCUGGCCUCACCUGGUCUGGCCUAACGCCAGAUCAGCUGCACCAACUGUCUCUCUCUCUCUUUCUCUCUCACUUUAUACUUUUUGUCUGUGUCUUAUUUUGGCUUUUUGCUCUCUCUCUCUCUCUCUCUCUCUCUCUCUCUCUCUCUCUCUCUCUCUCUCUCUCUCUCUCUCUCUCUCUCUCUCUCUCUCUCUCUCUCUCUCUCUCGUUUUUCCACGCGUGUCAUAGUUGUCGAUGUGUGUAAAUUAAUGAUGAUUAUUGUGUUGUUGAUCAAUGAGAUAAAAGAUAUUCUAACACCCACGGUCCAUAUGUUAUGUAAUAUAAUAAUAAGAGAUGAUGACCUGAUGUACACUAACUGACUUCCAUGCUCUGCCUUAUGGAAAUGAUUCUUAAAGUGGGCGUGGCCUCCUCUGAUCACAUCAGGUCAUGUGACCUCUCGAAAGCUGUCCCAUGGCCUGCCAGGCCCACGCACACACACACACACACACACACACACACACACACACACACACACACACACACACACACACACACACACACACACACACACACACACACACAUUCAUAUACAUGCACACUAACACAUACACAUACAUGCACACAAACACACACACCACCAACCGAAACAAACAAACCAACACACACCCACACACACAUACAUGAACACACACACAUACAUGCACACACACACACGUGCACAUACACACACACCUCAUGAUUCUGGCUAUAGGCCGGUGCGGUACCACGCUGCUGCCAAUGAUGUCAAAAUGUACCGAGAAGGGGGAAGUCAGCACCCUGUCAGAGUGGGGGGGGGUCGCAUGCGUGGGGAACCCCCAUCACCACCACCACCACCACCACCCCCUCCCCUCCCCUUGCCUCGCCCCCUCCUCUCCCUCAUUGCUCGUGGUCCCUGUUCCCCUCCAAUGUAAAUAUGCACAGUUCACACAAACUACAUUACCCAUAAGUCUCUGCUGCCCCCACCCCACCCCCCCUGUGUGGCUUGUUGAUAGCAUGUACUGGUUAGAGAUGUCGUGACCCCCCCAAAACCAACCCCUCACCCCACCUCACCCCACCUCUGUGUCUGUUUGUUCUCUGCAAGAUUAACUGCUUCUUCUUCGUUGGUGUGAAUAAUAUUGAUAAUAAUACUACCAUGACUACAAGGACAGUGAUGAUGAUGAUGAAGAGGAUGAUGAUGAUGAUGAUGAUGAUGAUGAUGAUGAUGAUGAUGAUGAUGAUGAUGAUGUGUCCAUGAAGUAUUAUAAAUGAGUAACUAUGAAGAGUUCAUCUGUGAUCGUAACACGCUUUGUGAGGCAGGACAAUAGCUGAAAUUUUUUGUACUUUUUGCUGCGGAGGCUGUGUUCUGACGUGUGUGUGUGUGUGUGUGUGUGUGUGUUCAAAGUGAUGUGUAUCGCUCUUCCUCUAACCACACACUCCUCACGCUUCCACAGACUCAACUCUUCUUCUUUUUUUUUUUCAAACACACCAGGAACCAUCACUGAAGGUGUACCGUAUGAUUUGUAACGUUUACUGUGUUUGACUUUCCCGGGAGCGUUUGUUUCGUGCUCAUGUCGUUGGUCGCUUCCGACAAAAAAUUACCACGUCCAGCGUCCGCCGUCUGUCGAUCGCAAAAAAGGCGAACAAACACCUGGGGUUGCCCCCCACGACCAGCGGCAGACGAACUCAGACCCCGACCGUGAUGCGACCCCCCCAACCCAUUCCCCUCGCAUAGUGACACUGGCGUCCUCGGGGUCGUUGGUCCCGACCCCUGAUUGACCCCUCCGACGGGGACGGGGGACGGGGGUGUUCAGACGACUGGACGUGUACCUGUGUGGGAUUUUAUUUUCUAAAGCAGCAAUAACUCCUGACUUUGCCAUGCUGGGACCCUGCUGUGAUGUCUGUACUCUGAGAGCUCCCUUUCUAUUGGCUGCCCGGGCGGCCAAUCACAGCGCGCUUGUGCACGUAUCACCUCGCUUCAUAGAUAAGGAUGGAUCCAAAUACUCCAAGCACAAGAGACAUCCCUGCUCUCCCCUCUCUCUCUCUCUCUCUCUCUCUCUCUCUCUCUAUCUCUCUCUCGCUCUCUCUCGCUUUCUCUCAGUGUGUUAAUGUGUAUGUACAUAAUCUGUCCCUGCUGUCCGUUCUCCUGUCGCACGUCAAUGUUAUGGUGGAUUUUAAAGAAAAGAAACAAAAACGUAAUGUCUGGAGUCCUUGUCGAUGUUCAUGGGGGGACAGGGGGUGCCCAACCGAGCACACACCAACACGCAUAAGCACAAAUGCGCGCACGCACACGCAUGAACAAAAUACACAUAUCCGCAACGACACAAACUUGACCGAAAAACACAUCCGC